rnacentral:rRNA from 1 species
UAGGGAAUCUUGCACAAUGGGCGAAAGCCUGAUGCAGCAACGCCGCGUGCGGGAAGACGGCCCUAGGGUUGUAAACCGCUUUCAGCAGGGACGAAAAUGACGGUACCUGCAGAAGAAGGUGCGGCCAACUACGUGCCAGCAGCCGCGGUAACACGUAGGCACCAAGCGUUGUCCGGAUUUAUUGGGCGUAAAGAGCUCGUAGGCGGUUCAGUCAGUCGGGUGUGAAAACUCUGGGCUUAACCCAGAGCCGCCACCCGAUACUGCUGUGACUUGAGUGCGGUAGGGGAGCAGGGAACUCCUGGUGUAGCGGUGAAAUGCGCAGAUAUCAGGAAGAACACCAGUGGCGAAGGCGCUGCUCUGGGCCGACACUGACGCUGAGGAGCGAAAGCGUGGGUAGCAAACAGG